rnacentral:lncRNA from 1 species
CUGGACCUCCCCCCACAAACAUACUGGCCACCCAUCCUGCUGUGUUAACAGUCAAGGUUAACUGCCACUGUUCUCAGCAACCAAGUAGUGGGCCUUCCUGCUCCUUCUGCCUCUAGAGGCUAAAUCACCAAGCAUGCAAUCCUGCAACUGUCCCCUGAUAACAGCUCCAAGGUGGACAACCCAGACCUCCUCACCCCUGACCCUCCACCUCAGAAAUUCAGCCCUAGACUCUGUUAGAGAAUGGAGAAAUGUGAACCUGAAUCUAAAAAUGAAAGCCCAGAAGAAAGCCUAACUGCUCAUGGGAAUGGAACAGCCUGCGAAGCACUGUCUUCCCUGUGAAGAAAUAGGAUCACAAGACUGUUGUAUUAUUUUUUACAUUAACAAUUAUAGAAUUAAAAUAAACUUUCUGUUCUGUUAUUUGAAG